rnacentral:lncRNA from 1 species
GCAUAUGGAGGUUCCCAGGCUAGGAGUCUAGUUGGAGCUGUAGCCGCCAGCCUACGCCAGAGCCACAGCAACGCAGGAUCCAAGCCGUGUCUGUGACCUACACCACAGCUCAUGGCAACACCAGAUCCUUAACCCACUGAGCGAGGCCAGGGAUCGAACCCACAACCUCAUGGUUUCUUGUAGGAUUUGUUAACCACUGAGCCACGACGGGAACUCCCAAAUUUUUUUUUAAUUUAAAGUAUAAUUUAUCUCAUACUAAUAUGUCAGUUGAAAUUUUUGGCUAAUGUUUGCAUGGUUUUUAUUUUUCCAUAAUUUUCUUUUCAACUUUAUAUGUUACAUAUGAAAUAACAUAAUAUGUGAAUAUUGUGUAUAGCAUAUGCUUGGCUAAUUUUUUUUUUUUUUUUUUUUUUUUUUUUUUUUGUCUUUUUAAGGCCAAACCUGCAGCACAUGGAGGUUCCCAGGCUAGGAGUCGAAUCUGAGCUGUAGCUGCCGGCCUACACCACAGCUAUAGCAACUCGGGAUCCAAGCCACAUCUUCGAGCUACACCACAGCUCAUGGCAACGCUGGAUCCUUAACCCACUGAGUGAGGCCAGAGAUCAAACCUGCGUCCUGAUGGAUGCUCGUCAGAUUUGUUUCCUCUAAGCCGUGACAGGAAUUCCUUGGCUAAUUUUCUUAAAUCUUUAUUACUGAUUUCUGUCUUUAAAUUGGUAUAUUGAAACCAUUUAAAUUUAAAAUAAUUAUUGAUAUUUCUAGGGCUUAUGUCUGCUAUUUUAUGGUUUUUAUUCUCGGCUUAUUGUUGCCCUUAUCUUUGGUUUGGGGAAGGGGGUUCUUUUUCUUUGUUUUGCCUUCUUUUGUGUUGCUUUAAUUUUUGAGUUCCAUUUGGUAAGUCUGUGAUGUUUUUGAGUAUAUCUCUUGUAUUCUGGUGGUUCCUGUACAUAUUGUACAUACAUAACUUAUCAGAGCCUAUCGUUUCAACAUUUAGCACUUUGACAUAGAGAGACUUUACUUGCAUUGGGUACCUUCACAUCCCUCAUUCUUGAAUGUCAUUGUCUUUAGGUGUUUCCUCUUUCUACACUGAGCACCGUAUUGGGUGAUGUUCUUUUCUACUUCAACUGUCAAACAGUUUUUACAAAACUCAAGAGCCGUAGUCUGGUUACUUCUGCUUUUACUCAUUACAUUGUUCUUUCUUCCUUCUUGAGAUCCCGAGAUUUUUCCCAUUAACAUUUCCUUUUUAAAUGUUUUGUUCCAGAAACACCCGGAAUCUGUCUUCUAGGGUAGGUUUUCUGGGAACACGUGUUUUUUUUUUCCUGCAUCUGAAAAUGUUUUUGUAUCUCCUUCAUUCCCAGAGGAUCUCUUUGUGGGAUUUAGCAUUCCGAGUCAGCAGUUCUUUUAGUACUUGAAAAGCGUGUCAUUGCCUUCUGUCUUCCAUGGUUUCAGGUGGGAAGUCUGCUGCCAUUUGACUCGUUAUUUUCAUCUCUAUAACGUCUCAUUUCUGUCAGAUACUUUCAAAGGGUUUUUUUUUUUUUUUUUUUUUAACCAUUUUUGGCCGCCCUGUGACAUACGGAGUUCCAACCCAGGGAUCAGAUCCGAGCCACAGCUGCGACAACACUGGAUCCUUAACCCACUGUGCCGGGCCGGGGAUCAAACCUAUGUUCCAGCCAGUCCCAUUGUGCCACAGCGGGAACUCCCCAAAUGUUUUUUCUUUGUAUAUAGAGUUCAGAAGUUUGAUUAUGAUGUAACCUGCCAUAAUAUUGUGGGGGCUUAAUCCUGUUUGGUAUCGGUUCAGCUUUUUUAAUCUUGUGUAUGCCCUUUGGCAAAUUUGGGAAAUUUUUAAUUCUUCUUCAAAUAUUUUUUUCAGCCCCUCUCUUUCAGGGGCUCCAAUAACAUGAGUGAUGGUUCUUAUUCCAUAGGACCCUCGGGUGCCCAUCUUUUUGUUCCCCCCUAGUUUUUUCUGUGUUACUUAUAUUGAUUAAUUUCCAUUGAUCUCUCUUUGAGCUCACAGAUUCCUUUCUCUAUCAUAUAUAAUCUACUGUUGAGUGCACCCAGUGAAUUUUCAUUUUGGUUUCUUUUCUUUUUUUUUUGUCUUUUUGCCUUUUCUUGAGCCACUCCUGUGGCAUAUGGAGGUUCCCAGGCUAGGGGUCUAAUCGGAGCUGUAGCCACCAGCCUACCCCAGAGCCACAGCAAUGAGGGAUCCAAGCUGCAUCUGCAGCCUACACACACUGUAGCUCACGGCAAUGCCGGACCCUUAACCCCCGAGCAAGGCCAGGGAUCAAAUCCGCAACCUCAUGGUUCCUAGUCAGAUUUGUUAACCACUGCGCCAUGACGGGAACUCCUCAUUUUGGUUUCUAAAUUUUUCAGUUGUUUUCUUUGCAUUUGGUCCUCUUAUAGGUCUUCUGGAUCUUUGCUAGUUUAUAAUGCCAAAGGACUCAGAAAAUAGGCACCGAAACUAAGGAUUCCAAAGCCAGUGGUUCAUGAUGAUUUAUCUUAUGUUGAAAUAGAAAUCCUAAAUUAUCUAGAGGAUUGAAAGGCCUGCAGUCUUCUAUGUUGGUAUCCAUAAAUAUUUCUCAAGAAAAAAUAUAACUGAGGGUGUCCUGCGAUUGUUCAGCAUUAUGUUCUCCAGGGAGGAUGUGUGUGUAAAAUCCCCUAGUUCUCUAAGGCUUUUUAUAGCCUUAAAGGUGGAGGGUCACCCCUCUUCCAGGAUGACUCUUCCUCUUUGUGGUUGAACACACCCUCCCAUGUCCCCAACUCGUAAGGGAGCUCUUUCUUUCCUUUAUACCUCUACCUCUUGGUCUUUAACUCCUCCUUCUUAAUCCCCUUCCGUCCUCACAAUCUCUACCUGUGUUCCUCACCCCCAGGCAGCACUUUCUGCCCCAUAGACACACCCUGUGUAGCUAUUCUGUCCCCUGCCUGUCCCCACCCCCUCAUGUUCCUCCCACUCCACUGAAAACUAGACAGUGACCUCCACCCUGGUCUCUUGGUCUCACGGAGUUCCCUUUUGUCUCCUCUCUCCCCAACUCUAGCCAGACUCCUGCCCAUUUCUCUGACUUGAAGGUCCUUUCCUGGGUUCUGUGAUUUCCUGCCCCUCUUCAGAGGGUUUGUGUCUUCAUUCCAUGUAUUAAACAAUCGUGCUUCCCAGAAUCCAUCCAAGGCCAUUGUUUUCUCACUUGUGGUGAGUGACUUAAUUCCCGCUCAGGGCAUUUUACACUCAGUGAUACAUGGAGUUCCCCAAUAUCCAUGUCUCCUGGUUGAGUUUUUCUCACAUCUUUUACCCACUGUUCCUACUUCCACACAUUCUUUGUAUUCACAUACACUGAGGUGAUGCCUGUGUCAUGUGGCCAAGGCCACUGCCAUGAGGAUGCAUCCAUAAUGAUUGUAAAAACAAGCAAACAUGUGCUUUAACUGUCUAUCAGUCAGCCAUUGCUUUGAAUGUUUAAACCCAGCAAAUCUUUUCCAUUUUUUUUUUUUUUUUUUUUUAAGGGCUCCCCCUGAGCUGUAUGGAAGUUCCCAGGCUAGGGGUGGAAUCAGAGCUGCAGCUACUGGCGUACACCACAGCCACAGCAAUGCCAGAUCCAAGCUGCACCUGUGACCUCCACCACAGCUCACGGCAACACUGGAUCCCUAACCCACUGAGCGGGGUCAGGGAUUGAACCCAUAUCUUCAUGGAUACUAGUUGGGCUUGUUACUGCUGAGCCACAAGGGGAACUCAACACAUCAACUCUUAACCUUUGCAGCGAGUCUAUAACGUAGGUAAUACUACACAUUUCAUAAAUCGAAACACUAAGGAAUAGAAAGGUUAAGGAAUUUUCCCCAAAGUUCUGUAGUCUACAAGGUAUGAGAUUAGGGAUUGGAGGCCAUUUAGGCUGGCUGCAGAAUCCAUGCCCUUAUCACUUCCUAGAUUCCUUCUCAUUCUGUGAAUCUUUGUUCUCCUGGUCACUAUUCAUUUUAUUCAAAUGGAUAAAAAAUAAUCAGUAAAAUAGAUCCGUACCCCCUUUUUCAAUUGACAGUACAUCUUGGCCAUCCUUUAAGGUUGAGUCUUCAGCGGUUGCAAAAUGUCUUGUAACUUUGUAGAAAAUACAAGUAAUCUCUGAGUUUGAGGUAGCAGGCAGGUAGAGAAGAGCCACGGUUGGCAUUGGUUUUAGACAUUUUAUUUGAGGUGCCUGAAAAAAAGGUCUCAGCAAAUCACACUGUCUUCUGUUUUGUACAAAAGCCAGACACCUUACAGCCAAUUUUUUUCAUCAUCCUCAUCCUUGCAUCCAGCUGUUACCUAAUUCUGUUCAUUGUACCUUUUUAUUUUCUUUAGUGAACAAUCCAUCUGUGUGUGCUAGUGAAUGGCCACACCCAGCAGUGUAUUUUUAUGUUUGCCUCCCUCACGGUGUUUACACAAAGCUAUGUAUGUAUUUGGCAGAAUAUAUGACAUAUGUUGACUUCCAAGAGAAACUGUAUGGGCUUUUAUGGACAGAUCUCCAAGACUUUAGAUGUCAUAGUUAAUGACUGUGUUGAAAGUCCUCAAGACCACCCAGGUUUGAUGAUUUACUAGGAAGAAUCCAAGGACUUGGUAUGUUAUCAUACUCAACAUCUGUGGUUUAUUACAGCAAAAGAAUGCAAAGUAAUCGCAACUAAGGAAAAAGACACAGAGACUGAAGUCCAGAGGAAGCCAGGGACAAGCUUUAGGAGUUCAGAGUUUUUCAUUUAGGUUGUGUCAGCAUGUAUGAGAUGUCUCCUGCGGGAAAACUCAUUAGAACUUCAGUGCACGUGAUAUUUAUUGGGCCCUCUGUCUAGAACACAGCUAGAAUUCUAGACCUCUAGAAGAUGAAAAGUUACCCAGCAUUAGCCAGGUUGUUUACACAAACAACAGGUAUACUGAGCCAUUCGUCAUUUCUGGAAAUGAUAGGAGGCCUCCUGAAAUCUAAGGUCUGGUAAACUUUGAAGCUCAACGGAUAGCCUGGUAACUUAACUCUUCUCCACAGUGGCUUGAAUGAUACUAGAAUGUUGAGGAAGUUUAAUUUUCUUUAACACGUGUUAAAACACAUAACAGUUUGCUACAGCAGAGAAGUCAUGACUUUGAGGUGAAGGCUUAUCUACGUGUAAAUCAUUGUAGCUAAAACAAUCCGUUAUGUCACAGAAUUCUUACAAAGUGGUCAGGAUUCAUCUUAGCAUUGACAAAAUCCAGAGACUGGUGAGAAAGAAUGUUUCCUCUCAAUAAAUCUGUAUCUAAU